UGCUAAAUAGCUCAGUGGGUAAAGCACAAGUCUCGUAAUCUCAGGGUUGUGUGUUCGAGCCCCACAUUGGGUGAA